CAGUUUCUCGGCGCCAUUUUGUCUGGGCAGCGGUGGACGCAGGUCUACCGCAUUUUAUGUUUCUGGCGAGACGAGAGCGGAAUCUUCAUCCCGUGGAUUCAUUUAACUGCGGCAACCAUCCACCGUUCCCUCCAGGACAGCACCUAGUGAAGAUCGGAAGAGUAGCAAUCUGUCAGAAAGUUGGUCUGAAGAAAACAGGACAGUUAAGUGACAAACAUCUGGAAGUAUUACUGAGAGGAAGCCUCGCUUUGUGGAAAAAUGAAGGAAAGUGUUCCAGUUUUUAAAUGACUUGGAUCUGCUCUCUGUUGAAAUUGUAUUUCUGCUCCCUGGCUCUUUGUCCACCCUCAUGUUGGAAAUGGUGAGAGAACUGAUGCUGAAUCAUAAGUAUGAUCCAUUUUAGACAUCUAAAUUUUUGCAUUGAAUCUUUACUAUCACUUGGUUGCUGCUGACUCCUAAACCAGUCGGUCUACUAAAGGUUCCUUUGAGAAUGACAGAAAUGAAAGCAAAUGGAUAGUCUUAUCAGAUAAGUGCUUUUUUAUCUGAAUGUAUUUGGUUUUUUCCAUAAGAUGGCUUUAGUAGCACUUAGUUGUCUUUAACUUCAUUCGAAACAAUUUUGUUAGACUGUAUUGUGACAGCUGUCAUAUCAGCGUGCAUUUUAAAAAAAAACAUCAAAAUUGGUGAAUUUCUGUGUAGCCAUUUUAAUAUUGAAGAUGGAAGGAAAAAAAGCAACAACAUAUUAUGCUUUAUUAUUUCAAGAAAGGUAAAAACACAACUGAAAGGCAAAAAAAGAUUUGUGCAGUGUAUGGAAAAGGUGCUGUGACUGAACGUGUCAAAAGUGGUUUGCAAAGUUUUGUGGUAGAGAUUUCUGGCUGGGCGAUGCUCCAUGGUCGGGGAGACCAGUUCAAGUUGAUAGCAGUCAAAUCGAGACAUAAAUUUCAAAACAGUCAACAUUAUACCACGCAGGAGAUAAGCCGACACACUCAAAAUCUCCAAAUCAGGUGUUGAAAAUCAUUUGCACCAGCUUGGUUAUGUUAAUCGCUUUGAUGUUUGGGUUCCACGUAAGUUAAGCGAAAGAAACCUUCUUGACCAUAUUUCCGCAUUGCGAUUCUCUACUUAAACAUAACGAAAACAUUCCGUUUUUUAAAACAAAUUGUGACGGGCAGUGAAAAUUGGAUACUGUACAAUAAUGUGGAAUAGAAGAGAUGUUACAGAAGAACCCGAACGAACAUUUUUGGCCAACCCAAUAUUAUUUGUAAUGUCUAAACCAAAAUUCUAUUCUUUAAAACGUUUGUAAUUUUUUUUCCUAGGUACCAGUAUCGAGGUUUACAGUAAUAAGGUAUUAAGUCUUUGCUGAAAAUAAAUUUGUAAUCUUGUCAAAGUAAAA